UACCCUACGGGAGGCAGCAGUCGGGAAUAUUGCGCAAUGGAGGAAACUCUGACGCAGUGACGCCGCGUAUAGGAAGAAGGUUUUCGGAUUGUAAACUAUUGUCGUUAGGGAAGAUACAAGACAGUACCUAAGGAGGAAGCCCCGGCUAACUAUGUGCCAGCAGCCGCGGUAAUACGUAGGUGGCAAGCGUUGUCCGGAUUUACUGGGUGUAAAGGGCGUGCAGCCGGAGAGACAAGUCAGAUGUGAAAUCCACGGGCUCAACCCGUGAACUGCAUUUGAAACUGUUUCCCUUGAGUGUCGGAGAG
rnacentral:rRNA from 1 species